rnacentral:rRNA from 1 species
AUUGAACGCUGGCGGAAUGCUUUACACAUGCAAGUCGAACGGCAGCACGGACUUCGGUCUGGUGGCGAGUGGCGAACGGGUGAGUAAUGUAUCGGAACGUGCCCAGUCGUGGGGGAUAACGUAGUGAAAAUUACGCUAAUACCGCAUACGAUCUAUGGAUGAAAGCGGGGGAUCGCAAGACCUCGCGCGAUUGGAGCGGCCGAUAUCAGAUUAGGUAGUUGGUGGGGUAAAGGCCCACCAAGCCAACGAUCUGUAGCUGGUCUGAGAGGACGACCAGCCACCAUGGAACUGAGACACGGUCCAGACUCCUACGGGAGGCAGCAGUGGGGAAUUUUGGACAAUGGGCGAAAGCCUGAUCCAGCCACUCCGCGUGCAGGAUGAAGGCCCUCGGGUUGUAAACUGCUUUUGUACAGAACGAAAAGGUUUCUACUAAUACUAGGAGCUCAUGACGGUACUGUAAGAAUAAGCACCGGCUAACUACGUGCCAGCCGCCGCGGUAA